rnacentral:rRNA from 1 species
UACGAAGGGGGCUAGCGUUGUUCGGAAUUACUGGGCGUAAAGCGCACGCAGGCGGCUCGUUAAAUUAGAAGUGAAAGCCCUGGGCUCAACCCGGGAAUUGCUUUUAAGACUGGCGAGCUUGAAUCCGGAAGAGGGCAGUGGAAUUCCAAGUGUAGAGGUGAAAUUCGUAGAUAUUUGGAAGAACACCAGUGGCGAAGGCGACUGCCUGGUCCGGCAUUGACGCUCAUGUGCGAAAGCGUGGGGAG